AUGUCAUUACGCAGGGCCGAGGCGGCGCGGCCACCUCCUUUAAAUAAGGCCUUCCCGAGGGGCGCUCGACAGUGAGAGGCGUGUGGUGGUGGGGGGGUGUGUGAGUUGUCUGCGGUUCGCGGCCCGCGCCCAAGCCGCCGCGGACCACGAGACAGUGUCCUGAGACCCUCCUGGAACAAGUUAAAUGGAGAAAAACUGAUCCUCCAUCAGCCUCGCUGCUCUGUCUGAAAGACCUUAGGAAUGUUCCUCUGUCUGCUGUUUUCUAAUUUAGAUAUCUAAGUUGAGAACCGGUGGUAGGAACAGGUUCUUGCUUCACCUGAGUUAACAGUGUCUGGCCCGGCCAAUCACCUGCUUUUAAUCUUGACCUUUUGUUUUUCCUCAGUUGAGUGUAAAUUCUAGAGAAAUCCUGCCUUCUCAGGCACCUGCACUACCAGGCAGCAGAAUUGUGAACUUUGUGAACCAGAGGGAAGCAGAAAUCUAGGAGUAAGAGCUCCGUGAUGGCCAUGGGUGAACCAAGGCUGAACUGGGAUGUUUCCCCAAAAAAUGGCCUUAAGACAUUUUUCUCUCGAGAAAAUUAUAAGGAUCAUUCCAUGGCUCCAAGUUUAAAAGAACUGUAUAUUUUAUCUAACAGACGUAUAGGAGAAAAUUUGAAUGCCUCAGCAAGUUCUGUAGAAAAUGAGCCGGCAGUUAGUUCAGCAACUCAAGCAAAGGAAAAAGUUAAAACCACAGUUGGAAUGGUUCUUCUUCCAAAACCAAGAGUUCCUUAUCCUCGUUUCUCUCGUUUCUCACAGAGAGAACAGAGGAAUUAUGUGGAUUUGUUGGUUAAAUAUGCAAAAGCCCCUGUGAAUUCCAAAGCUGGUGGAAUAAAUAAAAAUGACUACUUGCAGUACUUGGAUAUGAAAAAACAUGUGAGCGAAGAAGUUACUGAAUUUCUAAAAUUUCUGCAGAAUUCUGCAAAGAAAUGUGCACAGGAUUAUAACAUGCUUUCUGAUGAUGCUCGUCUGUUCACAGAGCAAAUUCUAAAAGCUUGCGUUGAACAAGUGAAAAAGUAUCCAGAGUUCUACACUCUCCAUGAAGUCACCAGCUUAAUGGGAUUCUUCCCAUUCAGAAUAGAGAUGGGAUUAAAGUUAGAAAAAACCCUUCUUGCAUUGGGCAGCGUGAAAUAUGUGAAAACAGUGUUUCCCUCAAUGCCAGCAAAGUUGCAACUAUCAAAAGAUAACAUACCUACCACUGAAAUACCAGAACAAACAGCUGCAUCUAUGCAUUAUGAUAUUAGUAAAGACCCAAAUGCAGAGAAGCUUGUUGCAAGAUACCACCCUCAGAUAGCUCUAACUAGUCAAUCAUUAUUUACCUUAUUAAAUAAUCAUGGACCAAGCUACAAGGAGCAGUGGGAAAUUCCAGUGUGUAUUCAAGUAAUACCUGUUGAAGGUUCAAAACCAAUUAAAGUAAUAUAUAUUAAUUCACCACUUCCUCAAAAGAAAAUGACAAUGAGAGAGAGAAAUCAAAUCUAUCAUGAAGUUCCCUUGAAAUUCAUGAUGUCCAAAAACACAUCUGUUCCAGUCUCUGCAGUGUUUAUGGACAAACCAGAAGAAUAUAUAUCUGACAUGGAGUCCGUCUUUGGAAAUGCCCCUUCGAUUCUUAGGAGGGAAAAGAUAUCGUAUGAAGCUAAUGAGUACCGAAAAAUUGAGACCCUUGAAAAUUUGGAUCUGGAUUUUGAUGAUGAUGUCACAGAACUUGAAACUUUUGGAGUAACCACCACCAGACCGUCAAAGUCACCAAGUCCAACAAGUGCUUCCACAGUACCCAACACAACAGAUAUGCCCCCAGUCCCCAGCACAGCAAUCGCAUCUGUGGCACCAACUGCACCAGACAUUUCUGCUCAGUCUAGAAGUUUAUCUCAGAUUCUGAUGGAACAGUUGCAGAAGGAGAAACAGCUGGUGACUGCUAUGGAUGGUGGCCUUGAAGAAUGUAAAAAUAAAGAUGAUCAGGGAUUUAUACCAUGUGGUAAAAAGCUAUCAAAUUCUGACAAGUCUCUUGUGCAAGAUAGUGACUUAAAAACAUCUGAUGCCUUACAGUUAGAAAGUUCUACAGAAAUUGAAACCUCUGAUGAAAAUGUUAUGGCCACUGAUAUGGAGUGUGUUUGUGAAGGACUGAAUGUUCUGGAGAACACAGACAAUAAUUCAAAGGAAAAGACUGUUAUAUCUGAAGCUGCUAAAACUGAAGAUGUAAUUCUUUGCAAUAGUGAUACAGAUGAAGACUGUUUAAUCAUUGAUACAGAAUGUCAAAAUAAUGGUAAUGGAAAGACAGCUGAUAUGGGUUCUAAUAUAAAUUCUAAACCAGCUAACCUAAAUUCUUCCUCAGAACAGGCUUCUGUAGGAAACCAGACUAACACUGCAUGUAGUCCUGAAGAAUCAUGUGUUUUAAAAAAACCUAUCAAACGAGUAUAUAAAAAAUUUGAUCCAGUUGGAGAAAUUUUAAAAAUGCAGGAUGAACUCUUAAAGCCAAUUUCCAGAAAAAUACCUGAAUUGCCCUUAAUGAACUCAGAAAAUUCUAAACAACCUUCUAUUUCUGAGCAACCCUCUGCUCCUUCAGAUGCUUCUGGUUGGCCAAAAUCUAUAUGGCCUUCUGCCUUUCAGAAGCCAAAAGGACGAUUGCCGUAUGAACUUCAGGACUAUGUUGAAGAUACGUCAGAAUAUGUAGCUCCUCAGGAAGGAAAUUUUGUUUACAAGCUCUUUAGCCUGCAAGACCUGUUGUUACUUGUGCGAUGCAGUGUCCAGAGAAUAGAGACCAGACCACGUUCUAAAAAACGGAAGAAAAUUCGAAGACAAUUUCCGGUUUAUGUACUACCAAAAGUGGAGUAUCAAGCUUGUUAUGGAGUUGAAGCUCUGACUGAAAGUGAACUUUGUCGCUUAUGGACUGAGAGUUUAUUGCAUUCUAACUGCUCAUUUUAUGUUGGCACAGAGAAUAUAUCUGGCACACAGAGAUAUUCAGACAUAUUGAUGCAUUUACUUCAAAGCUUUUCCUGCUGGAAGAAAUUACCUCAGAAGAAUUAAAAGAAAAACUUUCAGCACUUAAGAUUUCAAGUUUAUUUAACAUCCUCCAACACAUUCUAAGAAAAUUAAGCAGCUUGCAGGAAGGUUCCUACUUGUUGUCUCAUGCAGCAGAAGAUUCUUCACUCCUGAUCUACAAGACGUCUGAUGGAAAAGUUACUAGAACGGCAUACAAUUUGCAUAAAACACACUGUGGCCUUCCUGGUGUACCUUCCAGUCUCUCAGUUCCCUGGGUCCCAUUAGAUCCCAGUCUCUUAUUACCGUAUCAUAUCCAUCAUGGACGAAUUCCUUGUACUUUUCCACCUAAGUCACUAGGCCCCACAACACAACAAAAGAUUGGUGGAACAAGAAUGCCUACCCGCAGCCGCAGGAAUUCAGUUUCCAUGGAAACCAAAAGCCUGCCUGCUCAGCAAGUUGAAAAUGAAGGAGUGGCUCCAAGUAAAAGAAAAAUAACUUAAGGACUGUACCUUGGAAAACGAAGAAAAAACAUUAUAACAACAUUCAGUUUAGAGAAGUUUGAGGGGAAACAUGCCUGAAAGAUCUGUAGGCAAGAGGAUCGAUAUUCUUUCACUAUCUUUGAGAAUUCUUAGAGUGCCUUGAAAAAAAUGUGUUGACUGUGUGAAGCAGUGUUCCAACUAAAAUAGAAAGUUGGGCUCUUAACACCUGAUGUACAAAUAUUACAUUGUCGUGGCAGGGAAAUAGAGAAGAAAAUAUUUUUAUAGUAGAGCUUUUCCAAAAGAUGCAAAUAGGAAAAUAACUUGCUUUUCUCAGGAGCAAUAUGUUUCAUUAUGUAUUGUGUUAAUAAUUAGAGUUGUAUUGUGAUCUCUGGAGAUUGGCUCCAAAGCUUCAAUCUUGCCACUGUCAGAGAUAAUUUUGAGCUGUGUAAACCUUAUUUCUGAUCCAUUAGACAGUGUUAAUUACUACUUUAAAAGGAUGAUUGCUACAGGUUAAUGAAAUUAGUAUCUUUCAAAACUUGGUAAAAUUUCAUUGCAGAAGCCAAAAAUAAAAAAUAAAAAACUCUCUGCCUGGGAGUUCCCUGGUGUCCUGCCAGGUUAAGGAUCUGGCAUUGUUAUUGCUGUGGUGAGGGUUUGAUCCCUGGCCUAGAAACUUCCACAUUCCAUGGGCAUGGCCAAAACAAAAAACUCUCUGUGUCUGAAAAUCCACAAGUAAACAGUUUUUUUGGUUGGGCAGCCAUCAGAUUGUUUAAAAACAAACAAACCAAAAAAAACAUAUGUGGUGUAACAGGUUUGGUGAUGAAUGCCUCUAUCUUUGGCACAAAUCCUGGCUAAGUGUUGAAAUGCACUACUAAAAACAAAGAGGUGAGUAUGUUUUCCAGAAAAAAUCUCAUAUUUCAAUUGACAAUGUGUGGUAAAACAGAAGCUAUUUUUCCUCAUCUACACUGAUUAAUCUAAAUUUUUCAGGACUGUGGAGAUGAAUUUGGAAAAGGGAGUGAUCAAUUCAUGUUUUGUAGGCAACUUGGACUUGAGAGAGGAUGGAGUUAUAUAAUUUUUGUAUUCCUCUUCUUUAAUGUGUGCUGAAUAUGUACAUCAUUUGUAAAAUACAAGCUUUGUAAUCUAAGACAGUAUUGCUUUGUUUUUAGGAAUUUUCUAUGCAUUUUUUAUUAAUACAAGAAAUUAGUCCUAGAAAGCUUCUCGGUUGUUAUGAAUAACAGUUAUGUAUUUUUUUAUUACCAAGUUUUAUUUCAAAAAUUUUUGAUUGGUUAUAAAAUAUUUUAAAUUAAUGAGUAAUUAUUAGUAAAAUUGUGUAUUAUAAUAUAUAAUUUCCUCAUCUUGCCA